GUUUGUUGGCUGCUUUGUGAGGGAGGGAGAGUCAGUACUCUGAGGAUCUGCUCAUGAGAAAACACUAAGAAGAGAGCUGCCAUGAGCCAUUUGCACCUUUGGACCAGAGAGCCAGGGACUGCCUUGGGGUGGAUGGAUGCUGGUUUGCUGGCAAAAGGCUUUCAGGAUCUGAUUUCAAGUACUUUCAGCUCUGGACAGACUUCCUCACUGCUGAGCACAGAAGGAGGGUUUUUCACACUUGUAUUGUUAAAAUGUGACGCUCCCAGGAUGGUACAAAGGAUUUCACAGACGGCUGCUGUUAAAGGUAGUUGGAUUAUGAGGAAGUGUCAUCCCAGCUCUCCCUGAGGUGAGCAGCACUAGGACAGGUGUGGACUUUAGGUAAGGAGGGACCAUCCUGUCUGUAAAAUGAAUUUCCCUCAAAUGGAGCUGGUGGAUUUGCUCUGGUGGACAGCAUCAGCCUUUCAAGCCUCAGUAAGUCCCCUCUCCAUAAGGCAUUUUCCUAACCCAGUUUGGUGUUGCCCCUAUCACUGGUUUGAUUCCUUUUUUAAACCUUUCAUGCACCAUUUUUAAUUGUCAGUUGCCACUUUGCUUUCUGUGCAAAGCUGAGCUGUCCAGCUCCAUCCAUCCUGAGCUGUGCCUCCAAAAACCCUGUGGCGUUUCACACCUCAGCAGGCAGGAGCUUCCAGCCUGGGGUCACUACAUGGCUCCAGCUCUCCUGACUUCCUCCCUCCACUCUGCUCUACUAUUUUAUAUUUUCCUAUUUUUCUAUUUUAAUAUCAAUAGUGUUGUCACAUUAUGGCAAAAAGUCUGUCCUUAGUGGAUAUCUCAGGGCACUGGGUUACACAAAAAUUACACAAAAUUACAUAGAAAAUACACAAAAAUCUUUUACCUCACUUCCCUCAAUUCCUCCUAUGUCAAACUAUGACACCCCAGCAAGUGCAGGUUGCACCCCUGCCCAGCACCACCUCCUCAGCCAGGGAGAGAAGGGGAUCUCCUCCACCUGGAGAGAUCAUUCCUGGCACAGACCACUCUUCACACAGCCCAGGCUGCAGGGAAACACAGAUGGAUUGCACCUCAGAAAAGACAAAAGAUUGUAAGAAAUUCUACUUACUUCCAAAAACUUUAGAAGGUUUAUUAAAACCUUAUCAAAAAUACAACAGAAGACUGAAUUGAGAAAAUAUUACAGAGCCAGGAACAGAGGAUUUUCCCCAGCAUGUGCUCACCCACACCAUGGAGGUUUCCCCUUUUAACCCUUUGGCCCUCCCAAAGUUCUGUCCAUCCCCUCCUCCUUCCCUGCCCAGUGCUGAGAUCACUGCCUGACACCUUGACUGGAGCUCAGGUGCUGCCAUGGGAACGAGUGACCCUCCCAAAUGUCCCAAACCCAGGGCACCCCUGAUAACAGCACAAGGGGGGAAAAACACAACUAUAAAUCUAUAAAACUUCUCCUAACAUACAUACAGGAUAUUUGCCUUUUAAUUGUGAGAGUCACCCAUGGCAUUGCUCAUCUAUCACAAGAUGAGUGACAGACUGUGUCUCUUGUGUGGCUGGGGCAGCCCCACAAGCAAGGCAAGUAAUGAAGAUAAUGAUGAAUGAAGGAUUCAAAACUGAAAAUGCUCCUCCUGUGUUUCUAUUGAUCUUCCAGCAAAGGCCACAUUCCUGACCUUUAAAAUGGAGAUAUAAUUUUAAUGCAGUGGCCCUCUCUGUGUUGCAGUUAAGCAAUUUAGUUCACGGAAAUUCACAAAAUCCCUUUCUGCAGCCUCAGCCCAAACAGCCCCAGUACCAAACACAGUUUGGCCAAUGCUCUUGGGGAAGGGCUGCUGGGGGCCAGCAGGAGCCAUGGCACCAGCAAGCACCUGGCCUCCCAUGAGGAGAGAGGUGCUGAGCUCAUGGCAGGAGGGGUUUCUGUGUGUGACUGGAGGAUGAUCCCGAGGGAAAGGUCACUGCCCUGUCUGGAGCUCCCCAGGCUUCCAGGAUGUGGCCAUCAGCACCCACCAUUCACCCAAGCAGAGCUUCAGUCCACAGUCACAGCCUUCCAGCAGAGCCUCAGAGUCAAACCCCAAAAGCUUUACCUGGGAUGUGGUGGG